rnacentral:rRNA from 1 species
AGUGAACGCUGGCGGUAGGCCUAACACAUGCAAGUCGAGCGGCAGCACAGGAGAGCUUGCUCUCUGGGUGGCGAGUGGCGGACGGGUGAGGAAUACAUCGGAAUCUACUCUGUCGUGGGGGAUACGUAGGGAAACUUACGCUAAUACCGCAUACGACCUACGGGUGAAAGCAGGGGACCUUCGGGCCUUGCGCGAUUGAAUGAGCCGAUGUCGGAUUAGCUAGUUGGCGGGGUAAAGGCCCACCAAGGCGACGAUCCGUAGCUGGUCUGAGAGGGUGAUCAGCCACAAUGGAACUGAGACACGGUCCAGACUCCUACGGGAGGCAGCAGUGGGGAAUAUUGGACAAUGGGCGCAAGCCUGAUCCAGCCAUACCGCGUGGGUGAAGAAGGCCUUCGGGUUGUAAAGCCCUUUUGUUGGGAAAGAAAUCCAGCUGGCUAAUACCCGGUUGGGAUGACGGUACCCAAAGAAUAAGCACCGGCUAACUUCGUGCCAGCCGCCGCAGUAA